AUUGAACGCUGGCGGCAUGCCUUACACAUGCAAGUCGAACGGCAGCACGGGAGCAAUCCUGGUGGCGAGUGGCGAACGGGUGAGUAAUACAUCGGAACGUGCCCAGUAGUGGGGGAUAACCCGGCGAAAGCCGGACUAAUACCGCAUACGACCUACGGGUGAAAGCGGGGGAUCGCAAGACCUCGCGCUAUCGGAGGGGCCGAUGUCCGAUUAGCUAGUUGGUGGGGUAAAGGCCUACCAAGGCGACGAUCUGUAGCUGGUCUGAGAGGACGACCAGCCACACUGGGACUGAGACACGGCCCAGACUCCUACGGGAGGCAGCAGUGGGGAAUUUUGGACAAUGGGCGCAAGCCUGAUCCAGCCAUGCCGCGUGCGGGAAGAAGGCCUUCGGGUUGUAAACCGCUUUUGUCAGGGAAGAAACGCUCCGGGCUAAUACCACGGAGUAAUGACGGUACCUGAAGAAUAAGCACCGGCUAACUACGUG
rnacentral:rRNA from 1 species